rnacentral:rRNA from 1 species
AACGAACGCUGGCGGCAUGCCUAACACAUGCAAGUCGAACGAGACCUUCGGGUCUUGUGGCGCACGGGUGCGUAACGCGUGGGAACCUGCCCUUAUGUUCGGAAUAACUCCCCGAAAGGGGUGCUAAUACCGGAUACUGUCUUCUGACCAAAGAUUUAUCGCCUUUGGAUGGUCCCUCGUUGGAUUAGCUAGUUGUUAGGGUAAAAGCCUACCAAGGCGACGAUCCAUAGCUGGUCUGAGAGGAUGAUCAGCCACACUGGGACUGAGACACGGCCCAGACUCCUACGGGAGGCAGCAGUGGGGAACAUUGGACAAUGGGCGAAAGCCUGAUCCAGCAAUGCCGCGUGAGUGAUGAAGGCCUUAGGGUUGUAAAGCUCUUUUACCCGGGAUGAUAAUGACAGUACCGGGAGAAUAAGCUCCGGCUAACUCCGUG